rnacentral:misc_RNA from 1 species
GAUGAAGAACGUAGCGAAAUGCGAUAAGUAAUGUGAAUUGCAGAAUUCAGUGAAUCAUCGAAUCUUUGAACGCACAUUGCGCCCGCCAGUAUUCUGGCGGGCAUGCCUGUUCGAGCGUCAUUUCAACCAUCAAGCCCCCGGGCUUGUGUUGGGGACCUGCGGCUGCCGCAGGCCCUGAAAACCAGUGGCGGGCUCGCUAGUCACUCCGAGCGUAGUAGUUACAUCUCGCUCAGGGCGUGCUGCGGGUUCCGGCCGUUAAAAGCCUUUUACCCCAAGGUUGACCUCGCAUCAGGUAGGAAGACCCGCUGAACUUAAGCAUAUCAAUAAGCGGAGGA